GACGAACGCUGGCGGCGUGCUUAACACAUGCAAGUCGAACGGAAAGACCCUGCUUUUGUGGGGUGCUCGAGUGGCGAACGGGUGAGUAACACGUGAGUAACCUGCCCUUGACUUUGGGAUAACUUCAGGAAACUGGGGCUAAUACCGGAUAGGAGCUCCUGCUGCAUGGUGGGGGUUGGAAAGUUUCGGCGGUUGGGGCUGGACUCGCGGCUUAUCAGCUUGUUGGUGGGGUAGUGGCUUACCAAGGCUUUGACGGGUAGCCGGCCUGAGAGGGUGACCGGCCACAUUGGGACUGAGAUACGGCCCAGACUCCUACGGGAGGCAGCAGUGGGGAAUAUUGCACAAUGGGCGGAAGCCUGAUGCAGCAACGCCGCGUGCGGGAUGACGGCCUUCGGGUUGUAAACCGCUUUCGCCUGUGACGAAGCGUGAGUGACGGUAAUGGGUAAAGAAGCACCGGCUAACUACGUG
rnacentral:rRNA from 1 species